rnacentral:misc_RNA from 1 species
GACGAUAUCGACGACUUCAAUGGUUAUCGGAACUUCUCUGCUCGUUACGCUUCAAUUCCGGCGCCGUUGAAGACCGGAGGAACCAAGGAUGUUUCUGCCGUCGCGUAAAGGUGCGCUGUGUCUACUAAAAUACGCCGUUGUUUAGUGCUGUUAUUGUCCACACAUUGGGCUGGCUGACAUCGCCGCCGCCGCCGCCGCCACCUCCUCCG